CAGUAGCCGCGGUAAUACGAAGGGUGCAAGCGUUAAUCAGAAUUACUGGGCGUAAAGCGUGCGUAGGCGGUGAGUUAAGUCUGCUGUGAAAUCCCCGGGCUCAACCUGGGAAUGGCAGUGGAUACUGGCUCGCUAGAGUGUGUCAGAGGAUGGUGGAAUUCCCGGUGUAGCGGUGAAAUGCGUAGAGAUCGGGAGGAACAUCAGUGGCGAAGGCGGCCAUCUGGGACAACACUGACGCUGAGGCACGAAAGCGUGGGGAGCAAACAGGAUUAGAUACCCCCGUAGUCCCUGUCUCUUAUAC
rnacentral:rRNA from 1 species